rnacentral:tRNA from 2 species
GCGGGUGUAGUACAAUGGUUCGUAUACGUCCUUGCCAAGGAUGAGAUGGCGGUUCGAUUCCGCUCACCCGCU